rnacentral:lncRNA from 1 species
UUUCUUUGUGGUUUGUUUUGCACUGUUUUAACCCAGUGUCUGACCCAUGUACAUGGACAACACUAGGCCUGUACAUAUAGCUUUGGUCAGGUACAAAUCACAGGGCCCUGCUCCCAGCUACGUAGUUCUCCAGGAAAGCUAUAGAUCAGCACUAUAACUGGUUAUGACCUGAGCCCUUCAGCUCUCCUUGAAGUUUUAUGAUCAUUCCACAUAUACUGGAUCACUAAGGUUUGCAGUGAACUCGCCAAUCAAAGCCAGUGGAACUGGAAUUAAUUUAGUUCUUGGUGCCUCCCCCUCCCCCCCCAUUAAUAGUGUCGUGUAGCCGUGUUAAAUCAAGGCAGGGAUCUGUAUUACUCAGGAACAUACUUACUGUGGAGAAAAAAACCAAAUCACACUCCAUGCUUUCCUUCUCUGCUCUCCUCUUCGAAACCCACUGGAGAUGUGGGUUGUUUGUUGCCCUUAUGCAAGCGCUCAGGCAUUUCUUUCCCGGGGGUGCUUGGAUAGUGAAGGUAUCACCCACUCCAGUCACUGGCUUAUCAGCCCGGGGAGAUGGAAAGGGAGCAGCCUGUGGAAUGUCAGGCCCUGCUGGCUGCACGCCCAUAUACAGUUCAGCAACCUCGGCGAGAACAGCCCCGGCUGCUGCUGCGGCUGCCACUCGAGUUAUUUCUUCUGGGCUCAGCGGCAGCCUGCAGAGCUCUGCAAAGGGGAGUGGUUUCUUCGCUCCCUCCCUCCCAAGGGGGCGGGGGAGUCCUGCCCCAGCCCCAGCGAUGGGGGCAGGACCAGCCCGGGGCCGGUUUAAUUGAAAGCAAACCGCGGAGACUCCACGCGAGGCGAGAGCGCUGGCAGAAUGCCCCGGGCUGGCGCCCCCGCUCCCAGCUGUCAGUGAAGGAGCGAAGCUUCCCGCGGCCGGGAUGUUCAGCUGGCACAAGAGCUUCACCCUGGGAGCUCCCUGGAGACAAGCAGGCAAGAAGAACCCACCAUCCAAGGGCAAGGUAGUGCUGACCAACAUGAAGAUACUGAGCAAUGAAGAGAGUCAAACCCAGGGGUUGACAGGAGAGCCACCUGCAGCCAUGGACUUUGCAGCGGAAUCCAGGCUUCCCAAAGUCGACAUCCCAUUAGAAUGCCAGGGAAAUCUGGGCACAAGAGACAUCUCUUCAAAACCAGACUAUGUGGCCACCCUGUCUGACCUCAGCACCUUAGAGUCCAAGUGCCAGCUUCACAGAUUCUCCAAAUUUGAAUCAGAGGAUUCUGGGGUUGAAUUGCCAAGUGGAGCCAAUUCUCCAUCUACACCAACAGGCUCCGAGAAGAGCUUUGUGCUUCACACCAGAGACUCGUCUUGUGACUCCGGAGUGCUCAGCAUCUCUUCUUCUCCGGGAAUUGACCAUGUCAUAAUGAGAAAGUGUAAAGACAUCAGAGAAACCAGCCAGUGUGCUUCAGACAGUGAAAAGCAAGUUGAAUAUUACAGCCAGGCAGCAGAUGUGGUGCAGAUCCCUACAGCUUCCCUGGAAGAUUUCAGUGACUGUCAGGAGGGAGAAAGUCCUAAUAAACUUUUUGGCCAAAGUGAAGGACAAUAUUUGGAAGAGAAACCCAGGAAAGAGAUAGACCUUUCCAUUAAAGACACUCCUCCAGCUGCUGCCCACAUAGAAGAGCAAAGGCCAAUCAGCAACCGUUACAAAGAGACCUUUGGGAGGAUGCAAGAACUUCAGCUCCAUGGACAUCAGCUCAAAAAAUAUCCCACAAGCGACAGCCUGGAUGAGUACAUGGAUGAGUGCUGUCGAUUAAGUGAGAUACUUUAACUGGGAGGUAAAGACAUGAACUGCCGCAGCAGUAGUGAACCCUCGUACCAGUGGCUCCGUUAGAUAGAUGGCUACAAAACCAAACCGAAGGAGACAUAAAGACAACUGUAUAAUCCCUGAAAGCAAGGUUCAAAGUUACAGCAAACAGAGGUAAACCCUCUAGCAAAAGGAACAUUUACAAGUUGAGAAAACAAAGAUAAAACUAACACGCCUUGCCUGGCUGUUACUUACAAGUUUGAAAUACGAGAGACUUGUUCAGAAAGAUUUGGAGAGCAUGGAUUGAUGUCUGGUCCCUCUUAGUCCCAAGAGCGAACAACCCGCAAAACAAAGAGCACAAACAAAAGCCUUCCCCCCACCAAGAUUUGAAAGUAUCUUGUCCCCUUAUUGGUCCUUUGGGUCAGGUGUCAGCCAGGUUACCUGAGCUUCUUAACCCUUUACAGGUAAAAGGAUUUUGGUGUCUCUGGCCAGGAGGGAUUUUAUAGUAUUGUACACAGGAGGGCUGUUCCCCUUCCCUUUAUAGUUAUGACACCUUCCUUAGAGGUUUUUAAAGUCAGGCUUGACAAAGCCCUGGCUGGGAUGAUUUAGUUGGGGAUUGGUCCUGCUUUGAACAGGGCUUUGGACUAGAUGACCUCCUGAGGUCCCUGCCAACCCUGAUAGUCUAUUAUUCUAUGAUUCUAUGUUUAGGGCUCGGUGAGGAGGUGUAGGCCAGCUUCUGUUCUCAGUUACAUCAAUCAGUCUAAAUCUGGAAUAAUGCCAUUGAAUUCACAGUGGAGUUGGAUCCUCAGCUGGUGUAAAUCAGCAUAGCUCUGUUGAAGUCAAUGGAGCCAUGUUGAUUUACACCAGCAUAGGAUCUGGCCCACUCAGUAUUUAAGCCAAUGUAUCUGAAAGCAGGAUCUGGUCCCCUCUAAAUUCCCAAAACUCAGCUGUUUUUUAUUUUGCCCCUUGUCCACCCAUCCCUGUCUCCUCACCCCAGAACAGCAGUGGAUAUAUUUUUUAAUGCUGUAUGUUUAUCACCAUGCCAAAAAUGGCUUUUGCUCAAACAUUAUAAAAAAACAAUCACCUUCAGGUAGGAAUAAUGGAAAAUUUCAGCCCUGAUGAUGAACAUUUCAAGGAAGCUAGAGUCAUAUGGAAUUGGAAGGAGGGGACUUGCAAUGGAAUCUGUUUUGUAAUCAUACAGUGGCACAACAACAGUGAACUAGCCUAGCUCUCUCUCUAGACUUUAGAAAGAUUGACCCCAGGAUGUCAUACAGCAGGUUCCGAGCAGCAUGCUGCAUGAGCUAGAUGACGAUAUUUAGGGAGUGUUGCUUAAAUAUUUCCAAUCUAUUGAAAGAAAUUCCGGGAAAGGCCACAUGGUGUUUCUUGCUGAGCAACCAUUAGGGAGGUAACUUGCUCUAUUGCCCAAUCAAAAACUUUCUGUACUUGACAUCAGUUCUGUCAGUUUCAGGCACAUCAAAAAUUAACUGAGACAUAACCCUAAUCCAAAUAGUGUGUAUUGCACAGCAGUGCAGCGAAGGUACCUGUUUCCAGGUAUAUACCCCACUGCUGAAGGACAGAGGCAGUGAACUUGCAUUGUAACUGCAGGGCAGUUGCAAUAAAUUUAGGGUUUACCUGAUGCUUAAAAUCCUU